GACAACCAGCCAGCCAUGGGCCAGGAUUAUUACUCUGUGCUCCAGAUCACUCGCAAUUCAGAAGAUACCCAGAUCAAGAAUGCGUACCGGAAACUUGCCCUUAAGAACCACCCGUUGAGGUCCACUGAGACAUCCGCAGCGGAGGCAUUCAGGCAAAUAGCGGAGGCCUACGAUGUGCUGAGCGACCCUGUGAAAAGAGGCAUCUAUGACAAGUUCGGAGAGGAAGGCCUGAAGGGUGGAAUUCCUCUGGAGUUUGGAUCGCAGACCCCGUGGACAACUGGUUAUGUCUUCCACGGCAACCCGGAAAAGGUUUUCCAUGAGUUCUUCGGGGGAGAUAACCCCUUUAAUGAGUUUUUUGAUGCAGAAGGAAAUGAGGUGGACUUGAACUUUGGGGGACUCCGGGGCCGAGGGGUCAAGAAACAGGACCCCCCAAUCGAACGAGACCUCUACCUGUCCCUGGAGGACUUAUUCUUUGGCUGCACCAAGAAAAUUAAGAUCUCCCGAAGGGUGCUGAACGAGGAUGGGUACUCCUCUACCAUCAAGGACAAGAUCCUCACGAUUGACGUGAAGCCUGGUUGGAGGCAGGGCACACGUAUCACCUUCGAGAAGGAAGGGGACCAGGGUCCCAACAUCAUCCCAGCCGACGUCAUCUUCAUCGUAAAGGAGAAGCUACACCCUCGUUUCCGCAGGGAGAACGACAACCUCUUUUUUGUGAACUCCAUCCCCUUGGGCAAGGCUCUGACCUGCUGCACCGUGGAGGUGAAGACCCUAGAUGACCGUCUGCUCAACAUCCCCAUCAAUGACAUCGUCCACCCCAAGUACUUCAAGAAGGUGCCAGGUGAGGGGAUGCCGUUGCCAGAGGACCCCACCAAGAAGGGGGACCUCUUCAUUUUCUUUGACAUCCAGUUCCCCACCCGCCUCACACCCCAGAAGAAGCAGAUGCUGCGCCAGGCGUUGCUGACGUAACUCUGGCGGGCUGGAGACUGGCGCAGGGGUAAGAGAAGAUUUCUCCUUUAGUGGAACUCAGUAUUCUGGAGAAGCGUCCCGCAACACAGCAGACUCUGGUCCCCCACCCCGGCCGAGGAGAGGAAGUGGAAGGGUAAAGGCUUCUAUUACAGCCAUUUGAACGCGAGAAGUAAAGAACAAAAGCAAGACACGAAAAGAGUGAAAGAAGAGAGAUAAAGAAAAACAACAAAAGGGUGCACCAUUGGGGGUGGCUGCAGUGGCUGAUGGCUUGAUGGUCUCAACAUCCUUUGUUUACUGACACGGCAGGCAGACAUUCUUUGUCCACAAUGGGUACAGUGCAAAACAAAGGUAUUCUUAAGACAAAGCACGGAAGACCACAGUCCUUCCUCCUCUUCUAUUUCUUGAGUCAGCAGCAAGUAAACAGUUUUGUAAACAUGUGUGGGUCUACGUCCUUGUGUGUGUGGACCUGCUGCUUUAUUCCAUCCUUAACUGGUUUUGUCCUAGUUAAGUACCAAGUGGCCUUGUCUUAGUCAAAACGGAGAUUCCCGUAGCAUCUGGACUUUCAUCAAGGCCCGUUUCAGUUGCUCGUAGGUGACGAACAUCACCACAUUCCAGGCUCCCAGACGCAAAAAGGAGGGUGUAAAUCUGAUGAGAGAAACAACCACAUGGUCAGGUGGGUGGACUUGAGUCCCGCAUGGAUCUAUGUGCUCCCCCCUCGGCGCUGGUGCCACAGGACCAGCCUUCUGUUCGUCACGAGCAUUUUCUGAGAUUGUUCAGUCAUUUUCUUCUCUGCUGAAGGAAUUUAGGCAGAAGCUGGAGUUGGGAAAGGAAAGAAGACUAACAUUUUGAGCCGUGUUACUGUGUCAGGCAGUUAAUUAUCACAGUUCUAUCAGGUAGCUAUGAUUGUUGCCAGGUUUUUCUCUUCAGAAACCGAGGUUAAGUAGCUCAGUUAAAACCACCUGACUCCACUCUGCUGCUGGGUGUUUCUGGGCUCAUUUACAAGCUGAGUGGCCACCCCUGCAGAGACCCCGGACUCCAGCUGGAGGCCCCCCAGGGCGAAAACAACGUGACACCAAAUUUAGCUACUCUGCGGAGAGCCUGCCAGUGCUGCGGCAGGUAGCACGGCCUGGCGAGAGCCUCCCCUCGGCUGUGCUUCGCAGACUCGGGGAGCGGCCCGGCCCCCGCUCUUCUUCAGCCUCUCUCUCUGCUAAUCCCCUCCUGGUCCUCAGCUCCUGCCAGACGCUUCCUCCCACAGCUUUGCCCAUGUUGCUCCUUCUGCUUGGAAUAUCUCCUUCUCUCCUUGCCGGGCUGUUUGCUCUUGGCUCCGUGGGACUCAGCUUGGGCACCAGAACCUCCCACCAAGGCCUCUCCUGAACCCUCAGCCUGGGCCCCUCACAGGGCGUGUAGCACGGGGACAACGAAUGUGCACUCUGGCGUUAGACCUGGAUUCACAUCCUAGCUGGACCAGCUUCUUGAACUUAAUCUUUCUCAGCCUCGGCUUACUUACUUGUAACAUGAGGACAACACCACCUACCGCAAAGAGUUGUCGAGAGGAUUAAAUGAGUUAAGGUACAGCACAUAGCACCAGGCUCGGUAUUAGUAAAUCCUCAAUAAAUGUCCCUUACUGGUUGGCUGCUCUUCAAAGGAAGCACAGCACAGGGCCCAGCACCCGCAAGAUGCUCAGUGAAUGUUUGCCAAGUGAAAGUACAAACCGAGACAAGUGGCCACAGCUGAAGAGUGAAAUGAUGGAGGCACUUACAGGCAAAGAACUGUCAGCUGGAACUCAGUUUUGUGACGUCAUCCCAGGGUCGAGAACAUGGUUGCUUGUUGGGCCCAAUCUAACGCUGGGCGCCAGAAGACUAUCUUCAGUGGUGGAGAUGAGGCAACAGAGGCUCAGAUAGAGGCGCGCGCAGUCAAGCCGGACGGGACCUAUCAGGAAGUGGCAGAGCUGGACCCGUCUCUGCUCUCUCCCCAGCUGGACCGUGGCCCUGCUGGUUCCUCCCUGGUCUCACCCCCAGACUUAGCUCUUCAAGGAAGCCUUCUCUGACUGCUCCAGCCCACAUGGUUUCCUCCAUGAACUCCCCGAAUUCAAAGCACCUGACUGUAUCCUGGGCACAGAUGCCUUGUGACGCGUCUGGAGGUGUCUUGUGUGAUCUGCUUCCUAAGUACAUGAACAGAGGCAAGUCACUUAACUUCGUUGAGCUUCAGUUUAACUAUAAGACGGGAAUCAUAAGAUGUGGGUUAUAGAGUUGUUCUGAGGACUGAUAUGACCUAUG